GUAUAGCAUAUGGAUUAAAAAAAAAAGAUGGCCAGGCAAUACAGAGUAUUUAGACUCAUUCACAGUAGACUUUGCUCAAUCAACCCUGAUUUUCCUGAGCUUCCUUUUAAAUCACCCCCUUCAGGACCUGUGUGUUGUGGUUAAAACAGCUCAGACAAACAGCAGCCUCCUGCCCUCAGGCAGCUGUUGUAAUUUGACUUGGAGACAGCGCCUCCACACCACAGCACUCAGCAGUUUGGCUUCGAUUCAGGCAAAUCUAAUUGGUCACCAUGGCUACGAGCUGUCUGAAUACUGUCGCCAUCUCCCACUGUAACACAGAGUGAGCGGGGAGGUAGCUAACAGUCCAUUAAUCAGGUGUGCAGAUUGAGAUUUCAGCUCAGUUUAAAGAAGCUAAAAAGCUAAAGGUUUAUUCAUUCAGUUAGCAUUUUAAACAUGUCUGACUCAAAUUUUUUUCAACACCGUUUGUCCUCACCUCAACCCUGAAGCAAAGCACUGUUGUCAAAGUUAAUGAGGCAACCCUGGCGUCCCCAGAGGAAGACUUUGGGGAGAAGUCAGCAUUCCCCCAGCAGACUUCCUGAUUAGUAUUUCUUUCCGUAGGCUCCCACGGCAACGACCCAGCGGCCGCCUACAGCGACGCAAAGCAGGGGAGGCAGAUGUACGUCUCCUCAGCAGCUGAGGAGAGGAAAGAGUCUGCCGAGGAGGAAGAGGAGGAGGAGGAUGAGGAGGAAGACAGGGAGGAGGAGGAGGAGCAGAGACCCUUGUGUUCUGGUGUCCUGGGCUACCCGGUGGUUAGGGACCACACUCUGGGCCUCGGACUGAGCAGCACACCAGAUGAACCGGCUGGAGACAACACGCACAACCAGGAAUAUAAAGAGCUCCACGUGGACGAGUGGGUCCACCAGCACCCCGGCGACAGCAUGGAGGAGUUGGCCCAGUGUCAGGAGACGCCAGCCGGGGAGGAGGACAGUGAUACGGAUCUCACCUAUGGAGAGGUGGAGCAACGGCUGGACCUGCUGCAGCAACACCUGAACAGACUGGAGUCCCAGAUGACUGCAGACAUCCAGGGCCAUCCUGCAGCUCCUCCAGCGACAGACCACGGCCGGCCCC
ensembl:lncRNA